UACGAAGGGGGCUAGCGUUGUUCGGAAUCACUGGGCGUAAAGCGCACGUAGGCGGCUUUGUAAGUUAGAGGUGAAAGCCCCAGGGCUCAACCCUGGAAUUGCCUUUAAGACUGCAUCGCUUGAACAUCGGAGAGGUAAGUGGAAUUCCGAGUGUAGAGGUGAAAUUCGUAGAUAUUCGGAAGAACACCAGUGGCGAAGGCGACUUACUGGACGAUUGUUGACGCUGAGGUGCGAAAGCGUGGGGAGCAAACAGG
rnacentral:rRNA from 1 species